rnacentral:lncRNA from 10 species
AAUAGGAGAAAAAACAGGCAAGAAAGAGGACAGCACACGAGUAUCUGAAGAAAAGGUUGAAAUGUUACUGUAAUAAAAGCGGAAAUAAAUUUCUACACAGGUGGAAAGGUAGAAGGACCCGGGUCUUGGUGAUUACCAGUGUUUUUCAACAUUGGUUGAAAGGCAAACAAGGACUGAAUUUGAGAACAUACCUGGAGGAACUCUCAUAGUUCUUUAGAAAUGGUCCGGGAGAGAGACAGAAGAAGUAAAAGGAUGAGGCCAUAUCCCAGAAGCCAAGAAGGCAGAUUCUGUCGAAGAGGGUGACAGGGUGCCCUACACUGUAAAAUGCUUCAAACAGAUUUAGGAGAGUGAGGACCAAAAAGCUGUGACCUUGACAACCAGAAAUUCACAGUGACCUUUGAGGAAACAGUUUUCUCAAGAUGUGGAAAUGGAAGUCAGAAUGCAAAGAGUUGAGGAGCAAGUGCAUGGUGGUGAAGCCAACCUAUUUUUUAAUUAACCAGGGUCAAUGUACUUUAAAAGUCUUCAGAAUGCCUGUAAGUUUCCUUUACUAGUUCCAUGUACUUUCUUGUUUUCCCAUAAAAAUCUGGAUUUGUGGCAGAAGAGAAUGAAAAAAAUUAAAAAUUAAAAGCGCUGCUUUUCCUUAAGCACUGACAAAAUACAAUAAAAGCUGAUUCUUAUUAAG